rnacentral:rRNA from 1 species
ACGAACGCUGGCAGCGUGCUUAACACAUGCAAGUCGAACGGAAAGGCCAUGCUUUUGUGGGGUGCUCGAGUGGCGAACGGGUGAGUAACACGUGAGUAACCUGCCCUUGACUUUGGGAUAACUUCAGGAAACUGGGGCUAAUACCGGAUAGGAGCUCCUGCUGCAUGGUGGGGGUUGGAAAGUUUCGGCGGUUGGGGAUGGACUCGCGGCUUAUCAGCUUGUUGGUGGGGUAGUGGCUUACCAAGGCUUUGACGGGUAGCCGGCCUGAGAGGGUGACCGGCCACAUUGGGACUGAGAUACGGCCCAGACUCCUACGGGAGGCAGCAGUGGGGAAUAUUGCACAAUGGGCGGAAGCCUGAUGCAGCAACGCCGCGUGCGGGAUGACGGCCUUCGGGUUGUAAACCGCUUUCGCCUGUGACGAAGCGUGAGUGACGGUAAUGGGGAAAGAAGCACCGGCUAACUACGU